rnacentral:rRNA from 1 species
GGAUUAGAUACCCUGGUAGUCCACGCCGUAAACGAUGUGUGCUAGUUGUUGGACUCUUAAGGGUUCAGUGACGGAGGGAAACCAUUAAGCACACCGCCUGGGGAGUACGGCCGCAAGGCUAAAACUCAAAGGAAUUGACGGGGACCCGCACAAGCGGUGGAGCAUGUUCCUUAAUUCGAAGCAACGCGAAGAACCUUACCCACACUUGACAUACUCGUCGGGGAUUACAGAGAUGUUUUCCUUCGGUUCGGCCGGACGAUGUACAGGUGCUGCGCGGCUGUCGUCAGCUCGUGCUG